rnacentral:rRNA from 1 species
GACGAACGCUGGCGGCGUGCUUAACACAUGCAAGUCGAACGGAAAGGCCCUGCUUUUGUGGGGUGCUCGAGUGGCGAACGGGUGAGUAACACGUUAGUAACCUGCCCUUGACUUUGGGAUAACUUCAGGAAACUGGGGCUAAUACCGGAUAGGAGCUCCUGCUGCAUGGUGGGGGUUGGAAAGUUUCGGCGGUUGGGGAUGGACUCGCGGCUUAUCAGCUUGUUGGUGGGGUAGUGGCUUACCAAGGCUUUGACGGGUAGCCGGCCUGAGAGGGGGACCGGCCACAUUGGGACUGAGAUACGGCCCAGACUCCAACGGGAGGCAGCAGUGGGGAAUAUUGCACAAUGGGCGGAAGCCUGAUGCAGCAACGCCGCGUGCGGGAUGACGGCCUUCGGGUUGUAAACCGCUUUCGCCUGUGACGAAGCGUGAGUGACGGUAAUGGGUAAAGAAGCACCGGCUAACUACGUG